rnacentral:rRNA from 1 species
CCCUUAGAUGUUCUGGGCCGCACGCGCGCUACACUGACGAAUGCAACGAGCUUAUAACCUUGGCCGAAAGGUCUGGGUAAUCUCCAAAUUUCGUCGUGAUGGGGAUAGAUUAUUGCAAUUAUUAAUCUUCAACGAGGAAUGCCUAGUAAGCGCAAGUCAUCAGCUUGCCUUGAUUACGUCCCUGCCCUUUGUACACACCGCCCGUCGCUCCUACCGAUUGAAUGGUCCGGUGAAGCGUUCGGACCGUGGCCUUUGGACGGUUCGCCGUCUGUUGGCUGCGGGAAGUUCGUUAAACCUUAUCAUUUAGAGGAAGGAGAAGUCGUAACA